rnacentral:snoRNA from 1 species
AAGCCUGCCAAUGAAUGUGCUUCUUUGAAUGUGUUUUUGCAGAAAUUUAGAAGCAGCUGGCAAUAGGGAACCCAUUUUAUGAGCCUUAGGGACAUCUGACAUCAUAGCAAUCCCUCAAAACGGAUACAAGA